AUGGCAACGGCCUCCACGCCAAUGGCGACCAGCAAGAAAUUGGCGUCGCCUCUGACGGACAUCGCCGACCACCUCCUUGAUGAGAUCUUCCUCCGGCUGCCCACCCCACAAGACCUCGCCCGCGCAUCUGCUGCCUGCGCCACCUUCCGCCGAAUCGCCACCGACCGCUCCUUCCUCCGCCGCUUCCGCUCCCUCCAUGCGCCACCAUUCAUCGGCUUCUUCGACCGCGACGGCUUCCAGCCAGCCCUGCCGCCUCACCCCUCCGCUCCCGCCGCCCGUGCGCUCGCCGUCGCCACCGAUUUCACCUUCUCCUUCCUCCCCUCCCACCGCCGCUGGGAUGUCCAGGACAUCCGCGACGGCCGCGUCCUCCUCCGCUCUGGGCCCCAAAAGGGCGAGGAGCCCGCGAACUUCACGGAGCUUGUGGUAUGCGAUCCCUUGCACCAGCGGUAUCUCGUGCUUCCCCCGGUACCUGAUGACCUAGCCGCUUCUCUAGAGCACCGGGUCUCCAUGGUUCGCAAGCCCUGCCGCGUGCCUUUACUCGUUCCCCUCAGCGAGGAGGAGGAAGAUACCUCAUUCAGAGUGAUUUGGUUGGCGUGUUACGAAACUUGUGUGGCCGCCUUGGUCUUCUCUUCGAGCACCAGGCAAUGGAGAAUUGCUGCAUCCAAAGGAUGGAGUGAUUUGGCCAUUAGCACGGACGAGUCUUUCAUACUGUCACGGUUCCCCCCUCCGUUUGCCAGAAGCCAUUAUGCUUAUGGCUGCUUCUUCUUGGACUGGGUGAUGAUCAACUGCAAAAAGUUGCUCAUGCUUGAUACCAGGAUGAUGGAGUUCUCCAUUGUUGACCUCCCUCCCGGAAAAUGGAGCAAGGAAGGUGUAGCCAUUGUGGAGGCAGGGGAAGGCAGACUUGGGAUGUUUGGUUUCCAUGGUAAAACUGCAUCUGACCUCAGCUAUACUGUUGCAUCGAACAAAGGCAAGAGUCUCAGCCAGUGGCAGAUGAAGAAGACAAUCUCACUAGAUUCUAGCUAUAAAUAUUGUAUCAGAGGUGCAACAGGAAGUGAUAGAAAAUACAGAUGGUUCCUCAUGCCGUUGUUCGGUCUGGUCGACGCCGGCUGGGGCGUCCUCCUAGGAUCCGAGCGGCCAUCGCUGUUCAUGCCAUCAUCGGCGGCCGCAGCGAUGGAGCACGUGAGGCCUUUGGUCGACCGGGAUGUCCAGCAGGCGAGGUGA
rnacentral:rRNA from 1 species